GAGCUCGGGCAGGAUUCUCUGAACAGGGAGCAGUCCGGGGGCAUCAGGGAAGGGGCUGGCAGGGGCAUCGCGGGAAGGGCCUCUUGCACCGUCCCACGAGGCUUUGCAACGCUGCACGAGCUGCGCAGCUUGCAGAAAUUGGCCCAGGGUCUGGUCAUUUUAGGCCCUGAAUUUCCUGGCCUUAUUAACCACACACAGAGAGAUACCGGCUUUGAGACGACCACGGGGAGGACUUCAGUGGCAAAGCCCCCGCUAAACGUUUCUCGGCUUCGUCUCCCCACCCACCUUCCAACUGUUGUGCCGUGUGUUGCGACCGCUCUCGCCUUCCUGGUAUGUUAGGGCAAAAUAAUAAUAAUUUUAAAAAUCGGUUUGGCAAUCAAGGUAUGGGAGUGGUAAGCUCUGAUCAUGUGCAGCUUCACAUUUUAAACUCAGUGAAAUCAUCAGAGUUGGGAGAGUUGGCGUUGAAUUUGCUUCUACCUCCAUGUAAGCACAUGCAUUUGGGAAUCGGCACUGUUUUGCUUCGUGCAUACAUUUGUUUAUGAACCCCUUCCUUUGAAGCAUCUGAAAGCGAUUUCACAAUAAAAAAAUAAGGACAAUACAAGCACCCACAAGGCAGCAUACAAUAUUUUGAGGAACAAAAAAGAGGACACUAUGAUGGCUAUUCAAAGCAAAUAAAUGCAGUUUGUCUCAAAUGUUACCCCUGAAAAAGAGGAUGUGCCCUGGAAAAAGAGGACGCAGCGCAACCCUACCUGCUUAUCACAUCCUGUGGUUUCUUGUACAGCUUUAAUUACGUCGUUUCUGGGACAUGGAAAAGUGGAUGGCUGCAAAUAUAUAAGAAGGGGAGGAUCUGCCGAGAUUAUCAUUUGCUGGCCUUAACAGCAGAAGAGCUCUCUCAGGGACAGAAACUUGGGAAGCCUGUUUUGUUUUUGUUUUUCUGGUGACCCCUCCCCUUCCCCAGGCUCCCUACUAAGCAUGUAGAUGCUUCCUGAAACAUUUAUUUCUGGCAACAUCCUGUAAGGAACCAAAAGGAAAAGCACCAACAGCUUGUGACAUCCUGGAAACCUUUUCAAUAGGAAGCUGAGGAAUGAGGACCUGACACACAGCCUCGUCUUGAAGGCUUUCACAAGGGAUUUUUGGUGGUGUUUAUGAUGAAGAAGAAGAAGAAGAAGAAGAAGAAGAAGAAGAAGAAGAAGAAGAAGAAGAAGAAGAAGAAGAAGAAGAAGAAGUAGUUCUGUGUCCUGGUCAGCAACCAUACCCUUAGGCAGCAUGAGGCAAAUCCACCAUUUUGGAAAUCAUGCAACUGUUUUCUCUGGGCUUCUCCGAAAGACCUAUUUAUUGAGGAUUUUUCCAGAUUGGUUUAUGGGCUGGCUGUACAACUGGUCUAAACCACUGACCCCCUUGGGCUUGCCUAUCAGAAGGUCAGCGGUUCAAAUCCCUGCGACGGGGUGAGCUCCCGUUGCUCUGUCCCAGCUCCUGUAAACCUAGCAGUUUGAAAGCACGCCAGUGCAAGUACCUCUUGGAUGCGCUAAGAAUAGGUACCGCUGUGACAGCAAGGUAGAUGUGGUUUAGUCAUCCUGGCCACAUGACCCGGAAAGCUGUCUGUGGACAAACGGCAGCUUCCUGGGCCUGAAAAGGGAGAUGAGUGCCGCAACCCCAUAGUCACCUUGGACUGGACUUAA